rnacentral:rRNA from 1 species
CUACGGGAGGCAGCAGUAGGGAAUCUUCCGCAAUGGACGAAAGUCUGACGGAGCAACGCCGCGUGAACGAUGAAGGCCUUCGGGUCGUAAAGUUCUGUUGUCAGGGAAGAACAAGUGCCGUUUGAAUAAGGCGGCACCUUGACGGUACCUGACCAGAAAGCCACGGCUAACUACGUGCCAGCAGCCGCGGUAAUACGUAGGUGGCAAGCGUUGUCCGGAAUUAUUGGGCGUAAAGCGCGCGCAGGCGGUCUUUUAAGUCUGAUGUGAAAGCCCAUGGCUCAACCAUGGAUGGUCAUUGGAAACUGGGAGACUUGAGUACAGAAGAGGAGAGUGGAAUUCCACGUGUAGCGGUGAAAUGCGUAGAUAUGUGGAGGAACACCAGUGGCGAAGGCGACUCUCUGGUCUGUAACUGACGCUGAGGCGCGAAAGCGUGGGGAGCAAACAGGAUUAGAUACCCUGGUAGUCCACGCCGUAAACGAUGAGUGCUAGGUGUUAGGGGUUUCGAUGCCCUUAGUGCCGAAGUUAACACAUUAAGCACUCCGCCUGGGGAGUACGGCCGCAAGGCUGAAACUCAAAGGAAUUGAC